CCUACGGGAGGCAGCAGUGGGGAAUAUUGCACAAUGGGGGAAACCCUGAUGCAGCGACGCCGCGUGAGUGAAGAAGUAUUUCGGUAUGUAAAGCUCUAUUAGCAGGGAAGAAAAUGACGGUACCUGAUUAAGAAGCCCCGGCUAACGACGUGCCAGCAGCCGCGGUAAUACGUAGGGGGCAAGCGUUAUCAGGAUUUACUGGGUGGAAAGGGAGCGUAGACGGGAGGACAAGUCUGGCGUGAAAUGCCGGGGCUUAACCCCGGAACUGCUUUGGAAACUGUUGAGCUAGAGUGCAGGAGAGGUAAGUGGAAUUCCUGGUGUAGCGGUGAAAUGCGUAGAUAUUAGGAGGAACACCAGUGGCGAAGGCGGCUUACUGGACUGUAACUGACGUUGAGGCUCGAAAGCGUGGGGAGCAAACAGGAUUAGAUACCCCUGUAGUC
rnacentral:rRNA from 1 species